AACAGUUAGCAUCAAGCCAGCUGAAUCACAGCUACCACACUUGCUAACGAAUGACAGUCCGGCUGUGGUUUUUGCUUAAUUCUGUUUCUCUAGACUAUCUUGAUAAAGGAUGUUCACGGAGAUGGCGAAAUCCCCACGAAAGUCUCCCACUGGCAAGGACAAUAAAGGGAAAGAUGGGCCAAACAUCAACCAGUUAAUUCCCAAACCCGCGUGCCCUAAUUUUGUAGACUGAACAAGGAAUACUAUAGCACAUGCCUGGAAUCCAGCACUCUUGAUAUCUGAAGCGAAAAAAAGGCCACGAGUUCAAAGCCGGCUGGGCUGCGUCCCCUGUUAUUAAAUAAACAAACCCCACCAGA